AUGGCUUCGAUUUGCCGGGUACUACCAGUCUUUCUUGUGGUUCUCGCAGCACUUGCCACCACCUCCAACUCCCACGGUGACGGUAAACUCACUCUCCGAUGCCAUCCAGACCAGGCUGCAACCCUCCUCCAACUAAAGAAAUCCUUCUCAUUCCUCCGUUACCCCAACCCCCUUGAGUCAUGGCAGGAUGGUACUGACUGUUGUCUUUGGGAAGGCGUUGGCUGCAGCAAUUCCUUCGGCCAUGUCACUGCUUUGGAGCUCAGUGGUUGUGGCUUCUAUAGUCAGGGCCUUGACCCUGCAAUCUUCAAGCUCACCUCGCUCCAACUGCUUGACCUUAGCAUGAACAGUUUUGGCCCGUACAGUCUCCCGGCAAGUGGGUUUGAGAGGCUCCCCUUGCUCACUCACCUCAACCUCUCCAACUCAGGUUUUCAAGGCCAGAUACCUGCUGGCAUUGGCAGACUCGCCAACCUUGUCUCUUUGGAUCUUUCUAGUCAUUUUGGUAUUGAUGACUAUGAUACCGGGAUCGGUGACUCUACUAAUAGCCUUUGGCUGCAGGAUCCCAACUUUCAGAUCCUGGUGGCGAACCUCAGCAAUCUGAGAGAGCUCUACCUUGAUGGACUGGAUAUGUUUGGGAUCAAAGGUUGGUGCCAUGUUCUUGCUAAAUCUCUCCCCGAUCUCAGUGUUCUGAGCUUGAGUUAUUGUCAGCUCGUCAGUCCUAUUUGUCCAUCCCUCUCAACCCUCCACUCCCUAACUAUGGUCAACCUUCAAGACAACUUUUAUAUGCCUGAUGCUCCUUUUCCAGAGUUUUUCAUGGAUUUUCUCAAUUUAAGUGUACUCCAACUUGCUCGAACAAAUCUCCAAGGUUGGUUUCCUCGUAGAACAUUCCAGUCAAAAACACUACGGGUUCUUGAUUUAUCCCGGAAUCUGGAUCUCUCAGGACAUGUGCUCAGCCUUUCCAACACAAGUUCUUUAGAGACAAUGAAGCUAGACGGGACCCGUUUCUCCUUUGGAAAACCAGGCUCUUUUACCAAUUUCAAGUCUUUGCAAAUAUUAAGCCUUGAUGUGAAUGUUUCCUCUGUGGAUACUGUGGAGCCUCAAUCCUCACUCGGUAUCCACAGGUCUUUACAACAUUUGGGGCUCACUCAGAUGGACUCGAAGAGCGAUUUAGGGCUCAUUUUAUCAUGGCUUGGAAACCUGCAGAACUUGCGAAGCUUAGAACUCUCUGAUUGGCACUUCUCUCUUACAUAUUUUUCUUCAGUUGCCAAACUCAAAAGCUUGAGAAGGCUGUCAAUCACUGGCUGCACCUUCACUAGGUCAGCACUAUCAACAUUUAGUAAUCUUGUAGGAUUGAGAAGUUUGGAAGUCUCUGAUUGCGACUUUAAUGGUCCAAUACCAUCCGCAAUUGGCAACCUGACCAAUUUGAAAAGCUUGAAUAUAAACAGAUGCAACUUCUUAGGGCCAAUACCAUCUUCAAUUGGCAAGCUCAUGAACCUAAGAAACUUGGAAGUAUUUGGUGUUUACAACAAUAUUGGUACCUUUUCUUGCCCUUUUGUACCAAUACCUUCUUCAGUUGGACCAAUGCCAUUUGCAGUAGGCAAUCUUAGUAACUUGGAGAGUUUGCAAAUAAAUGAUUUUGAGUUUUCUGGACCAAUACCCUAUGCAGUUGGGCUACUCAAGAAGUUGACAUCACUACGUAUUCGAAAUUCUGGCUUGUCUGGAAACAUACCAAAUUCAAUAUCUAAUUUGACUCGCCUAAUUGAGUUAGACCUUUCGUUUAAUGAUCUCAAUGGGGAACUUCCAGCAUCUGUUUUCACUAUUCCAACAUUGCAACGCCUAGAUAUUCGCUCAAGCAAAAUAUCUGGCUCUAUACUAGACAUCAAUGUGACGUCUUCACACUUGGUAUCGGUGGAUCUAGGCAGAAAUAACUUGAUGGGAAAUGUUCCUGGGUCAUUCUUCCAACUCACAAGUUUGUCUUAUCUUGAUAUUGGCUGGAAUAACUUGACGGGUGCGGUGGAUCUUUCUUCAUUUUGGAGGUUUAGAAAUCUCAAUCAUUUGGAUCUUUCCAACAACAAUCUAUCAGUCAGAGAAAUGGAUGGAGAAGGUAACACCAACUCCCCGUCUACCUAUAUCCCUCGAGUUACCUCAUUAGGAUUAGCAAGCUGCAAUUUAACAGAAUUCCCAGUUUCGUUGGCACACCUUAACCAAGUGUUUUACUUGGAUCUGUCAUGCAAUAGAAUCAGUGGGGAAAUUCCAAAGUGGAUAUGGACGACAUGGAACAGUAGCCUUACAUAUCUGAAUCUUUCACACAACAUGCUCAACAUUAUGCAACUUACAUCAUAUGUUCUCCCUUUCAAUCAGCUGGAAACUCUUGAUCUCAGUUCCAAUGAACUUCAGGGGCAGAUUCCUAUGCCAAGCCCACCAGCGGUUGUCUUGGAUUAUUCAAAUAACAGUUUCUCUGCAGUUCUUCCAAACUUCACUCUCUAUCUUGGUGAUGAGUUCAAAAUUUCUAAAAACAAGAUUAGUGGACAUAUUCCUAACUCAGUUAGUGAUUCAAGUAUUAGUGUCCUUGACCUAUCAUUUAAUAACUUCACUGGGUGGAUACCACCCUGUCUAAUAGAAGAUGGUUACAUGAGGGUGUUGAUUUUGCGGAAGAAUCAAUUUGAAGGUGUGUUGCCUAACAAUAUCAAAGACCAAUGUAUGCUUCAAACAUUAGACUUGAAUGAUAAUAAGAUUGAAGGGCAGCUUCCAAUGACACUUACCAAGUGCUUGCAGCUGGAGCUCCUUGACGUUGGAAAUAAUGACAUGGUGGAUACUUUUCCAUCAUGGUUGGGGGUACUUCCUGAACUUCAUGUCCUUGUCUUGAGAUCGAACCGAUUCUAUGGCUCGAUGGGUGGUGAUCUUCACAGCGUUGACAAGUAUGGAGAAUACUUCGCUAGCUUGCAGAUUAUUGAUCUUGCGUCGAACUAUUUCUCCGGCAGUUUGAGUCCAAAAUUGUUUGACAGGCUGACAUCAAUGAUGGCAGAGUUGAACACCACAGGUGAAAUUGUCAGAGCUCGUAAUGGGACAGACUAUCAAGAUACUGUAGCUAUAACAUAUAAAAGUAUCUAUAGGUCAUUUGUUAAGAUCCUGACUACUUUGACCGUAAUUGACCUUUCAAAUAAUUCAUUUGAGGGAAACAUUCCCGAAUCACUUGGGAGACUUGUUUCACUACUUGCACUAAACAUGUCAGGCAAUGCCUUCACCGGUGAUAUUCCGCGGGAACUUGGCAGGAUGAGUCAGCUAGAAGCACUAGACCUGUCCUAG
rnacentral:rRNA from 1 species